AUUAACACGAGCAUUGGACAGGUGGGAGAACGACAUAUACAGACGACAGGGAGAACGACAUAUACAGACGACAGGGAGAACGACAUAUACAGACGACAGGGAGAACGACAUAUACAGACGACAGGGAGAACGACAUAUACAGACGACAGGGAGAACGACAUAUACAGACGACAGGGAGAACGACAUAUUCAGACGACAUAUUCAGACGACAGGGAGGACGACGUCCGUAAACAGACGACAUAUACAGACAAUUUCAAUGGACAUAUACAAAUGUAUUGUAUAAAGCAGACGACAUUAUUUUGACACAUCCGGAACCCCAUACUCCACUGCCUAUUGAAUGCGCUACACCCAGUCCAGUAGGAGGCGCUAAUUACCCUUCAGUUGCCAACCGCCAUUCAGGCCAAAAGCGCAGAAGAACAAAAAUGACCGGGAAAAUGGGAAAAUCUGACAAGACUGAGAAGAUGACAACAGCACAGCGGGGUUUUAGAAGCCCAUCAGAGUGAUUUUCUGAGUUCUUUCACAUGCUGUAUGGUCAGCGAAUGGAUGGAUUAUCCAGUCAAGGUACAGAAUGAAAGACUUGACUGAGUUAGAAGAAGCUGGGCGACUCUUCAGAGUGAAGAUGUUAUGUGCCUGCUUUCGAACCACACCCGUGGAGAUAUCUGCCAACAAAUGGACAAUCAUUCAUGGGGCUACAGAUGGGGCUGCAUUAAAGAAUUUUCAAUAUGCAGUUAUGUCAAAGCUCUCGUUUCGGCUGGCCAGAUUGGAACAGACCUGAAUGGGAAGAUGGCAGAGCUAAGACUGACAAUGUCCAGGAAAAAUGUUAACUAAAAAUGAGUGUUUUUCCUCAGCGAGUGAAUUUGGGAAUGUUUUAAAUGUUCCUAAAAGUUUGAAAAUGUAAUACUGAGGGAAAAAAGUGAGCGCUUUGAAAAGGCUUUAAAAAGAAAAUAAAGUCUGAAGUUGAUGGUAAAUGAAUUUAAAGUUUUUACUUGAAAAGUUUGUACUUGUUUGUACUUGUCAAGUCUGUGCUGAAAAAAAUGGAGUAAAGUUUGUAUUUGAAAAGACUUGAAAUUGUGUGUUCUGUAGAAUGAGUACACAUAUAUGUGCAGGCUGUAUAAAAAAACAUAG